rnacentral:rRNA from 1 species
UACGGAGGGUGCGAGCGUUGUCCGGAAUCACUGGGCGUAAAGGGCGCGUAGGCGGCUUCUCAAGCGUGUGGUGAAAGCCCGGGGCUCAACCCCGGGUCGGCCGUGCGGACUGUUCGACUGGAGCACUGUAGAGGCAGGCGGAAUUCCGGGUGUAGCGGUGGAAUGCGUAGAGAUCCGGAAGAACACCGGUGGCGAAGGCGGGUCUCUGGGCCGUAACUGACGCUGAGGAGCGAAAGCAUGGGGAGCGAACAGG